UACACUCCUGCGGGAGGCAGCAGUGGGGAAUAUUGCACAAUGGGCGCAAGCCUGAUGCAGCCAUGCCGCGUGUAUGAAGAAGGCCUUCGGGUUGUAAAGUACUUUCAGCGGGGAGGAAGGCAAUACGGUUAAUAACCGUGUUGAUUGACGUUACCCGCAGAAGAAGCACCGGCUAACUCCGUGCCAGCAGCCGCGGUAAUACGGAGGGUGCAAGCGUUAAUCGGAAUUACUGGGCGUAAAGCGCACGCAGGCGGUCUGUCAAGUCGGAUGUGAAAUCCCCGGGCUCAACCUGGGAACUGCAUUCGAAACUGGCAGGCUUGAGUCUUGUAGAGGGGGGUAGAAUUCCAGGUGUAGCGGUGAAAUGCGUAGAGAUCUGGAGGAAUACCGGUGGCGAAGGCGGCCCCCUGGACAAAGACUGACGCUCAGGUGCGAAAGCGUGGGGAGCAAACAGGAUUAGAAACCCGGGUAGUCCCAUGAU
rnacentral:rRNA from 1 species